rnacentral:rRNA from 1 species
AUUGAACGCUGGCGGCAUGCCUUACACAUGCAAGUCGAACGGUAACGCGGGGCAACCUGGCGACGAGUGGCGAACGGGUGAGUAACGCAUCGGAACGUGCCCAGUAGUGGGGGAUAGCCCGGCGAAAGCCGGAUUAAUACCGCAUACGACCUACGGGGGAAAGGGGGGGAACGCAAGACCUCUCGACACUGGAGGGGCCGAUGUCAGAUUAGGUAGUUGGUGGGGUAAAGGCCUACCAAGCCGACGAUCUGUAGCUGGUCUGAGAGGACGACCAGCCACACUGGGACUGAGACACGGUCCAGACUCCUACGGGAGGCAGCAGUGGGGAAUUUUGGACAAUGGGCGAAAGCCUGAUCCAGCCAUGCCGCGUGCGGGAAGAAGGCCUUCGGGUUGUAAACCGCUUUUGUCAGGGAAGAAAUCUUCUGGGUUAAUACCUCGGGAGGAUGACGGUACCUGAAGAAUAAGCACCGGCUAACUACGUGCCAGCAGCCGCCGUAA